rnacentral:rRNA from 1 species
CCUACGGGAGGCAGCAGUGGGGAAUAUUGGGCAAUGGGCGCAAGCCUGACCCAGCAACGCCGCGUGAAGGAAGAAGGCUUUCGGGUUGUAAACUUCUUUUAAGAGGGAAGAGCAGAAGACGGUACCUCUUGAAUAAGCCACGGCUAACUACGUGCCAGCAGCCGCGGUAAUACGUAGGUGGCAAGCGUUGUCCGGAUUUACUGGGUGUAAAGGGCGUGCAGCCGGGAAGACAAGUCAGUCGUGAAAUCCCGGGGCUCAACCGCGGAACUGCAUUUGAAACUGUUUUUCUUGAGUACCGGAGAGGUCAUCGGAAUUCCUUGUGUAGCGGUGAAAUGCGUAGAUAUAAGGAAGAACACCAGUGGCGAAGGCGGAUGACUGGACGGCAACUGACGGUGAGGCGCGAAAGCGUGGGGAGCAAACAGGAUUAGAUACCCUAGUAGUC